rnacentral:rRNA from 1 species
GACGAACGCUGGCGGCGUGCCUAAUACAUGCAAGUCGAACGCUGAAGAGAGGAGCUUGCUCUUCUUGGAUGAGUUGCGAACGGGUGAGUAACGCGUAGGUAACCUGCCUUGUAGCGGGGGAUAACUAUUGGAAACGAUAGCUAAUACCGCAUAACAAUGGAUGACACAUGUCAUUUAUUUGAAAGGGGCAAUUGCUCCACUACAAGAUGGACCUGCGUUGUAUUAGCUAGUAGGUGAGGUAACGGCUCACCUAGGCGACGAUACAUAGCCGACCUGAGAGGGUGAUCGGCCACACUGGGACUGAGACACGGCCCAGACUCCUACGGGAGGCAGCAGUAGGGAAUCGUCGGCAAUGGGGGCAACCCUGACCGAGCAACGCCGCGUGAGUGAAGAAGGUUGUCGGAUCGUAAAGCUCUGUUGUAAGUCAAGAACGAGUGUGAGAGUGGAAAGUUCACACUGUGACGGUAGCUUACCAGAAAGGGACGGCUAACUACGUG